AUGGGGAUCAGGCUCCUCUGCGGUGUGGCCUUCUGCUUCCUGGGAGUAGGCCUUGUGGACGCACAAGUCACCCAAACCCUGAGACAUCUCAUCGAACAAGUGGGAGCGAAAGUUGUGAUGGAAUGUUCACAAAAUAUGGACCCCAAAAGAAUGUUCUGGUAUCGACAAGGCCCGGGUCUGGGGCUGCAGCUGCUGCAAUGGUCAUAUGAUGUUGACGAUACUGAGCAAGGAGACAUCCCUUUCGGGUACGGCGUCUCUAGGAAGAAGAAGGAGGCCUUCCCCUGACCCUGGAGUCUGCCAGCACCAACCAGACAUCUGUGUACCUCUGUGCCAGCAGUGAAUCCACAGCAGGGCUCAGCCACAUCCUCUCUGCACAAAAAGGGCAGGUAUCAGGGGCAAGUGACCCUAACUCAGGGCUAGGUGGCCUCUAA